rnacentral:lncRNA from 1 species
GUCAGGCCAGGAUGGCCAGCCAGACCCCAUCUCCAACCCGGAUCCUGCCAGGAUGCCAGCAGAGAUCGUGGUCCUCUUGGACUCCGAGGACAACCCAUCUCUCCCUAAGAGGCUCCGGCCCAGAGGACUUCGUCCCCUUGAGCUGCCUGUUGCCCCUGUCAUAGAGCAAGGAAAUAAAAAGCCCCGUGGUCAGAGAUGGAAAGAGUCCCCUGAGGAUGAGCCUGCUAGAAAGAAGAGAAGCAGGCAUGUGACCAAAAUCCUGGACCCUGACCCAGACCCCCCAUCUCCUGAGUCACCCACAGAGACGUUCGCAGCACCAGCUGAAGUCCGACACUUCACUGAUGGCAGCUUCCCUCCUGGUUUCGUCCUCCAGCUCUUCUCCCACACGCAGCUCA